rnacentral:rRNA from 1 species
UGCCAGCCGCCGCGGUAAUACGAAGGUCCCCCGCGUUGUUCGGCAUAACUGGGCGUAAAGCGUGUGUAGGCUGCGCGGAAAGUCAAAUGUGAAAGCCAAGGGCUCAACCCUUGAACUGCAUUCGAUACUCCCGUGCUAGAGUAAUGGAGAGGUAAGUGGAAUUCUCGGUGUAGCAGUGAAAUGCGUAGAUAUCGAGAGGAACAUCAAUGGCGAAGGCAACUUACUGGACAUUUACUGACGCGCAGACAAGAAGGCUAGGGGAGCGCAAGGGAUUAGAUA